rnacentral:rRNA from 1 species
UCGGGAAUUUUGGGCAAUGGGCGAAAGCCUGACCCAGCAACGCCGCGUGAAGGAUGAAGUAUUUCGGUAUGUAAACUUCGAAAGAAUAGGAAGAAUAAAUGACGGUACUAUUUAUAAGGUCCGGCUAACUACGUGCCAGCAGCCGCGGUAAUACGUAGGGACCAAGCGUUGUUCGGAUUUACUGGGCGUAAAGGGCGCGUAGGCGGCAAUUCAAGUCAUCUGUGAAAUCUCCGGGCUUAACUCGGAACGGUCAGAUGAUACUGCUUUGCUAGAGUGCAGAAGGGGCAAUCGGAAUUCUUGGUGUAGCGGUGAAAUGCGUAGAUAUCAAGAGGAACACCUGAGAUGAAGACGGGUUGCUGGGCUGACACUGACGCUGAGGCGCGAAAGCCAGGGGAGCAAACGGGAUUAGAUACCCGUGUAGUCCCUGAGCGGGCUGGCAAGGCGCAU